CCUACGGGAGGCAGCAGUGGGGAAUAUUGGGCAAUGGGCGCAAGCCUGACCCAGCAACGCCGCGUGAAGGAAGAAGGCUUUCGGGUUGUAAACUACUUUUCUCAGGGACGAAGCAAGUGACGGUACUUGAGGCAUAAGCCACCGCUAACUACGUGACAGCAGCCGCGGUAAUACGUAGGUGGCAAGCGUUAUCCGGAUUGACUGGGGGUAAAGGGCGUGUAGGCGGGGACGCAAGUCAGAUGUGAAAACCACGGGCUCAACCUGUGGCCUGCAUUUGAAACUGGGUGUCUUGAGUACUGGAGAGGCAGACAGAAUUCCUGGUGUAGCGGUGAAAUGCGUAGAUAUUAGGAGGAACACCAGUGGCGAAGGCGGUCUGCUGGACGACGACUGACGCUGAGGCGCGAAAGCGUGGGGAGCAAACAGGAUUAGAUACCCGGGUAGUC
rnacentral:rRNA from 1 species